rnacentral:rRNA from 1 species
UACGUAGGGGGCAAGCGUUGUCCGGAUUUAUUGGGCGUAAAGAGCGUGUAGGCGGCCUGAAAGGUCAGCUGUGAAAACUCGAGGCUCAACCUCGAGACGUCGGUUGAAACCAUCUGGCUAGAGUCCGGAAGAGGAGUGUGGAAUUCCCGGUGUAGCGGUGAAAUGCGCAGAUAUCAGGAGGAACACCGAUGGCGAAGGCAGGUCUCUGGGCCGCUACUGACGCUGAGAAGCGAAAGCAUGGGGAGCGAACAGG